CGGUAGGCUUAACACAUGCAAGUCGUGCGAGAAAGUAUCUUCGGAUAUGAGUAGAGCGGCGGACGGGUGAGUAACGCGUAGGAAUCUACCUAGUAGAAGGGGAUAGCCCGGGGAAACCCGGAUUAAUACCGUAUACCUCCUUCGGGAGAAAGAAGGCCUCUCUUUGAAGCUUUCGCUACUAGAUGAGCCUGCGUAAGAUUAGCUUGUUGGUGAGGUAAAGGCUCACCAAGGCGACGAUCUUUAGCUGGUCUGAGAGGACGAUCAGCCACAUUGGGACUGAGACACGGCCCAGACUCCUACGGGAGGCAGCAGUGGGGAAUAUUGGACAAUGGGCGCAAGCCUGAUCCAGCCAUACCGCGUGUGUGAAGAAGGCCUUCGGGUUGUAAAGCACUUUAAGCAGGGAGAAAAAGUUAUAAGUUAAUACCUUAUAACCCUGAUGUUACCUGCAGAAUAAGCACCGG
rnacentral:rRNA from 1 species